rnacentral:rRNA from 1 species
AUGGGGUGCAGCNGGCGCGAAACCUCCGCAAUGCGGGCAACCGCGACGGGGGGACCCCGAGUGCCGUCGGGGCAAAGCCCCGGCGGCUGUACCGGGGUGUAAAAAGCCCCGGGUAGAAAGCGGCGGGCAAGACCGCUGCCAGCCGCCGCGGUAAUAGCGGCGCCGCAAGUGGUGGCCGCUUUUAUUGGGCCUAAAGGGGCCGUAGCCGGUCCCGUGGGUCCCCGCCGAAAGCCCGCGGCUUAACCGCGGGAGUCGGCGGGGAAACUGCGGGACUUGGGACCGGGAGAGGCCGGAGGUACCCCCGGGGUAGGGGUGAAAUCCUGUCAUCCCGGGGGGACCGCCAGUGGCGAAGGCGUCCGGCUGGAACGGGUCCGACGGUGAGGGCCGAAAGCCGGGGGAGCGAACCGGAUUAGAUACCCGGGUAGUCCCGGCUGUAAACGAUGCGGGCUAGGUGUUGGGCGGGCUUAGAGNCCGCCNAGUGCCGCAGGGAAGCCGUUAAGCCCGCCNCCUGGGGAGUAUGGCCGCNAGGUUGAAACUUAAAGGAAUUAGCGGGGGAGCAC